GACAGAGGGUGCAACCGUUGUUCGGAAUUACUGGGCGUAAAGCGCGUGUAGGCAGCUCGGAAAGUCGGGUGUGAAAGCCCUGGGCUUAACCUAGGAAGUGCACUCGAAACUUCCGAGCUUGAGUUCUGGAGAGGAAGGCGGAAUUCUCGGUGUAGAGGUGAAAUUCGUAGAUAUCGAGAGGAACACCGGUGGCGAAGGCGGCCUUCUGGACAGUGACUGACGCUGAGACGCGAAAGCGUGGGGAGCAAACAGG
rnacentral:rRNA from 1 species